CUACGGGUGGCUGCAGUGAGGAAUAUUGCACAAUGGGGGGAACCCUGAUGCAGCAACGCCGCGUGGAGGAUGACGCAUUUCGGUGUGUAAACUCCUUUUAUAUGUCAAGAAAAUGACGGUAGCAUAUGAAUAAGCACCGGCUAACUCCGUGCCAGCAGCCGCGGUAAUAGCGGAGGGUGCAAGCGUUACUCGGAAUCACUGGGCGUAAAGGACGCGUAGGCGGGUUGGAAAGUCAGGUGUGAAAUCCUACAGCUUAACUGUAGAACUGCACUUGAAACUUCUAAUCUAGAGUAUGGGAGGGGGAGAUGGAAUUAGUGGUGUAGGGGUAAAAUCCGUAGAUAUCACUAGGAAUACCUAAAGCGAAGGCGAUCUCCUGGAACAUUACUGACGCUAAGGCGUGAAAGCGUGGGGAGCAAACAGGAUUAGAUACCCCAGUAGUC
rnacentral:rRNA from 1 species